rnacentral:rRNA from 1 species
UACGGAGGGGGCAAGCGUUGUCCGGAUUUAUUGGGCGUAAAGAGCGUGUAGGCGGCUUGGUAGGUCUGCUGUGAAAACUCGGGGCUCAACCCCGAGACGUCGGUGGAAACCACCUGGCUAGAGUCCGGAAGAGGAGAGUGGAAUUCCUGGUGUAGCGGUGAAAUGCGCAGAUAUCAGGAAGAAUAUCCGUGGCGAAGGCGGCUCUCUGGGACGGUACUGACGCUGAGACGCGAAAGCGUGGGGAGCGAACAGG